UACGUAGGGGGCAAGCGUUGUCCGGAUUUAUUGGGCGUAAAGAGCGUGUAGGCGGCCAGGUAGGUCCGCUGUGAAAACUCGAGGCUCAACCUCGAGAUGUCGGCGGAAACCAUCUGGCUAGAGUCCGGAAGAGGAGAGUGGAAUUCCCGGUGUAGCGGUGAAAUGCGCAGAUAUCGGGAAGAACACCCGUGGCGAAGGCGGCUCUCUGGGACGGUACUGACGCUAAGGCGCGAAAGCGUGGGGAGCGAACAGG
rnacentral:rRNA from 1 species